rnacentral:rRNA from 1 species
CCUACGGGAGGCAGCAGUGAGGAAUAUUGGUCAAUGGCCGUAAGGCUGAACCAGCCAAGUCGCGUGAAGGAAGAAGGAUCUAUGGUUUGUAAACUUCUUUUAUAGGGGAAUAAAGGUAUCCACGUGUGGAUAUUUGCAUGUACCCUAUGAAUAAGCAUCGGCUAACUCCGUGCCAGCAGCCGCGGUAAUACGGAGGAUGCGAGCGUUAUCCGGAUUUAUUGGGUUUAAAGGGUGCGUAGGUUGUUUUUUAAGUCAGCGGUGAAAGUUUGUGGCUCAACCAUAAAAUUGCCGUUGAAACUGGAAGACUUGAGUGUGUUUGAGGUAGGCGGAAUGCGUGGUGUAGCGGUGAAAUGCAUAGAUAUCACGCAGAACUCCGAUUGCGAAGGCAGCUUACUAAGCCAUAACUGACACUGAGGCUCGAAAGUGUGGGUAUCAAACAGGAUUAGAUACCCCAGUAGU